rnacentral:lncRNA from 1 species
GUUUUCUCCUCUGUCACUCCUGUCAUACCCAUGAUAUGAUUCUACCCGCUGAGCCCUGGAUGCCAGAGGGUUGACAUAUGGUGUCAGAAAGUGGGAACUGAAUCGAUCUCACCUUCAUGGACUGGCAUCCUCUGGAAAUGGCUACAAUACCUACACGAGUCCCUUGUGUUCACCACUUCUAUGGACCGCUAGUUCCUCCAAUAAUUUGAGAACAGUAGACCAGACCAAUUGAAUCCUAUCUUUAAGUGUCAAGCACGGCACCUUCCAGCACACCUGCUUAAAAACUAUGGUCCCAGAAGCUAUAAAUAUUUCCAGAGACCAGCAGAGUCUUACUAACCUUAUUGUGUGUCCUGAGAGCUUGGCUUGGCUUGUAACCUCUCCAGAAACUCUUAUCUAAACCAUCCCUGAUUCCUAAGACUGAAGCAGAAAAAAAAAGAGAAGAAGCUUUUAGAGGUGAAGACUGCUAUGGAAGCACCCUUGCUCAAAAAUCUAGUUUAAGGAAAAAUUUUAAAUGAAGGCUAAAAUAUCUCUGUUUGCUGUCUGUGUGUUUGUGUGUGUGUUCAUAUAUGUAUGUUAUAAAUAUAUAAUAUUUUUCUACCUCUGGAUAGUAUUGUCAAG